CACGAAAGAAGAACAGGACCCUGUGGAGGACACUUUCUGCCCGACAUCUACUACGACCCUCCCUUUUCCUACGUGGCUAUUACACAAUAUAUGUGGAGCAACACCCUGCUCAGGAUAGCGAAGGAGGGUGAAUGCCAUAAAAAGCAUCUUGAUCAGUGCUACCAACAUCUCAUCCCUGCAUAUAAGGAUGACUUGAAUAGAAGCCUAUGCUACACAACGACAGACACGCAAAGGGCGCCUACAUUUUCAGGAGUAGUGGGAUUCAACGUAGAUAAUUUCUGUAAG